UACGUAGGGCGCAAGCGUUGUCCGGAAUUAUUGGGCGUAAAGAGCUCGUAGGCGGCUUGUCACGUCGGGUGUGAAAGACCGGGGCUUAACCCCGGUUCUGCAUUCGAUACGGGCUGGCUAGAGUGUGGUAGGGGAGAUCGGAAUUCCUGGUGUAGCGGUGAAAUGCGCAGAUAUCAGGAAGAACACCCGUGGCGAAGGCGGCUCUCUGGGACGGUACUGACGCUGAGACGCGAAAGCGUGGGGAGCGAACAGG
rnacentral:rRNA from 1 species